rnacentral:rRNA from 1 species
GACGAACGCUGGCGGCGUGCUUAACACAUGCAAGUCGAACGGAAAGGCCCUGCUUUUGUGGGGUGCUCGAGUGGCGAACGGGUGAGUAACACGUGAGUAACCUGCCCUUGACUUUGGGAUAACUUCAGGAAACUGGGGCUAAUACCGGAUAGGAGCUCCUGCUGCAUGGUGGGGGUUGGAAAGUUUCGGCGGUUGGGGAUGGACUCGCGGCUUAUCAGCUUGUUGGUGGGGUAGUGGCUUACCAAGGCUUUGACGGGUAGCCGGCCUGAGAGGGUGACCGGCAACAUUGGGACUGAGAUACGGCCCAGACUCCCACGGGAGGCAGCAGUGGGGAAUAUUGCACAAUGGGCGGAAGCCUAAUGCAGCAACGCCGCGUGCGGGAUGACGGCCUUCGGGUUGUAAACCGCUUUCGCCUGUGACGAAGCGUGAGUGACGGUAAUGGGUAAAGAAGCACCGGCUAACUACGUG